UCGAAAAUAACACAACACACGCAACAACAAAAUAGUGCAAAAAGUUCAACAACAAACAUCUAAACAACAAACAAAAAAAUGUAAUUUAAUUUUUAUAGCCAAAAGAAGAAGGAAAUCUGUAGAGGAUGGAAACUGGAUGUGGUACCCAUUGGUGGGUAAAUGGAUCGAAUGGAUCAUUUAGUUCUUAAGAAGCUGAAAAAACAAAACUCUAAGAUCUUCUGAAACGUGAGCAAUUGGUUGACUUAGUGAUACAAAAAAUGAAUGCAUUAAUAAUAUUCGUAUGCGUAUGUUUUUUAAUCAACACCACAAAAAUUCGAGCUUAAAUUAUUUUCAAAACACAAAAAAAACUAAAGAUUUCUAU